UGAAACGCCCCUUUCAGGCUUUGCUGAGCUCAGGAUCAGGGCACUCCACAGUGACAGACUGUGGCAUCGACCUCCGAGAUGAGCACACUCAUUGGCAGAGAGGCUUGGACAACAGCUCCACAGCCCCGGGGACAAUGACGGUGGCGGAAGAGAGGAUUUUUGUUGCCACUGCUGCAUCUGACCAUCCUCGGUGGCGGCAACUGAGCAUUUUGGGGGCAAAAGACCCAGGAUAAUGAUUUAAGUCACCCAGGCAAAGAACAUAUGGAGGAAAAGGAUAGUUGGAGAAGAGCAGAUGAUGAGACUUUCGUUUUACUAUUACGGCUCUAAGACUAGGGAAUCCCAAGUUGAACAGAGUCCAAAGGCUUGCUGACCUGAUUUUAGUGACAUUCCUAAUCCUGCCUAGAAGCACUCAGUAAUUGACAGCAGGGAGAUUUUAUUUAAGAGAAAGAGGAGAGAAGGGAAGGACCACGAUCGUCAACGCUGUUUACCACUUGGCCCCCACAUGGCACUGAACCAAAAGCAGGAAACGAUGUGAUAGAACAAACCGGAAAUAAAGGCAGGAAGGUUCCAGGGGUUUUGCGCAGAACCGCAGUGCAGGGCUGCCAGCGCAGGGGCACGGCAGCAGUUUCUGAGCACUGCAGAGAACGUGCACUCGGACCCCGCGAUUCAUUGCCCUUCGGGGUGUUUUUACCAGGGAAUCACAAAAAUAAAGUGAAAAAAGAUUAGCGGCUUCGUACUAAAGUUGAGAUCUGAGGACCAGCAGCAUCCACAGCAUCAAGGAGCUGGUAAGAAAUACAGCAGUGGGGACCCACCCUAGGCCGACUGAUUGGGAAUCUGGAUAUUAAUCAAAGCUCCAGGGGAUUCGCAUGCAGAUGAAAGUGUCAG
ensembl:lncRNA